rnacentral:rRNA from 1 species
AACGAACGCUGGCGGCAGGCUUAACACAUGCAAGUCGAGCGCCCCGCAAGGGGAGCGGCAGACGGGUGAGUAACGCGUGGGAAUCUACCUAUCUCUAGGGGAUAACACAGAGAAAUUUGUGCUAAUACCCUAUACGUCCUUCGGGAGAAAGAUUUAUCGGGGAUAGAUGAGCCCGCGUUGGAUUAGCUAGUUGGUGGGGUAAUGGCCUACCAAGGCGACGAUCCAUAGCUGGUCUGAGAGGAUGACCAGCCACAUUGGGACUGAGACACGGCCCAAACUCCUACGGGAGGCAGCAGUGGGGAAUAUUGGACAAUGGGCGCAAGCCUGAUCCAGCCAUGCCGCGUGAGUGAUGACGGCCUUAGGGUUGUAAAGCUCUUUCACCCACGACGAUAAUGACGGUAGUGGGAGAAGAAGCCCCGGCUAACUUCGUGCCAGCAGCCGCCGUAAAAC